CCUAGGCAUAUUCAGCUUGCGGUGAGAAAUGAUGAGGAAUUAAGCAAGCUCUUGGGAUAUGUGACCAUUGCCAAUGGAGGGGUUUUGCCUAAUAUUCACCAAAAUUUACUGCCAAAGAAGACUGCAAAAGGGAAAGGUGAAAUUGGGUCUGCGUCUCAGGAGUUUUAGGGUUCUAAAUUAAUCUAUUUGUUUCUGAAGUUAGGGGUUUGUUAGGUAGGUUGCUCUUUCCAUGGGAUAGAUUGUUGAUAGCAUGUAAUGAAGCUGGG
rnacentral:misc_RNA from 1 species